AAUGAACGCUGGCGGCAGGCCUAACACAUGCAAGUCGAACGCGUGGCGGACGGGUGUGUAAUGUCUGGGAAACUGCCUGAUGGAGGGGGUUAACUACUGGAAACGGUAGCUAAUACCGCAUACCAUCGGAUGUGCCCAGAUGGGAUUAUGGAGUAGCUGGGGUAAAGGCUUACCUAGGCGACGAUCCCUAGCGGGUCUGAGAGGAUGACCAGCCACACUGGAACUGAGACACGGUCCAGACUCCUACGGGAGGCAGCAGUGGGGAAUAUUGCACAAUGGGCGCAAGCCUGAUGCAGCCACGCCGCGUGUAUGAAGAAGGCCUUCGGGUUGUAAAGUACUUUUAGCGGGGAGGCGGUACCCGCAGAAGAAGCACCGGCUAACUCCGUGCCAGCAGCCGCGGUAAUUC
rnacentral:rRNA from 1 species